GAUGAACGCUGGCGGCGUGCCCAAUACAUGCAAGUCGAGCGAACGGACGAGAAGCUUGCUUCUCUGAUGUUAGCGGCGGACGGGUGAGUAACACGUGGAUAACCUACCUAUAAGACUGGGAUAACUUCGGGAAACCGUAGCUAAUACCGGAUAAUAUUUUGAACCGCAUGGUUCAAAAGUGAAAGACGGUCUUGCUGUCACUUAUAGAUGGAUCCGCGCUGCAUUAGCUAGUUGGUAAGGUAACGGCUUACCAAGGCAACGAUGCAUAGCCGACCUGAGAGGGUGAUCGGCCACACUGGAACUGAGACACGGUCCAGACUCCUACGGGAGGCAGCAGUAGGGAAUCUUCCGCAAUGGGCGAAAGCCUGACGGAGCAACGCCGCGUGAGUGAUGAAGGUCUUCGGAUCGUAAAACUCUGUUAUUAGGGAAGAACAUAUGUGUAAGUAACUGUGCACAUCUUGACGGUACCUAAUCAGAAAGCCACGGCCAACUACGUG
rnacentral:rRNA from 1 species